rnacentral:misc_RNA from 1 species
AAGACUAUAGACCUGCGGAGUACCUGCGGAGGGAUCAUUACAGAGUUCAUGCCCCUAUGGGUAGAUCUCCCACCCUUUGUUAUCAUCACCUCUGUUGCUUUGGCGGGCCGUCAGGCCUCGGUCAGACUACCGGCUCCGGCUGGUAAGCGCCCGCCAGAGGACCCUAAACUCUGAAUAUUAGUGUUGUCUGAGUACUAUAUAAUAGUUAAAACUUUUAACAAUGGAUCUCUAGAUCGGAAG